CUGGUGGCUCACACCUGUAAUCCUAGCUACUUCAGGAGGCUGAGAUCUGAGGAUCACACUUUGAAGCCAGCCUAGGCAGGGAAGUCCAAGAGAUUCUUAGUUCCAAUUGACUACCAGAAAAGUGGAAGUGGUACUGUGGCUCAAGUGGUAG